rnacentral:rRNA from 1 species
GCCAGCCUUCAUUUGGGCAAAUACGGCGACUGCCGAAACAAUCUGAAGGAAGAUGGUGAUCAGUCAUUCAUUCAUGCCAUGAUAUUAGGUGGGUUACACAAGUGUUACAAUGGACAGAACAAGGGGCAGUGAAACCGCGAGGUUAAGCCAAUCCCACAAAUCUGCUCUCAGUUCGGAUCGCAGUAUGCAACUGGACUAAGUGAAAAUGGAAUCGAUAGUAAUCGCGGAUCAGCAUGCCGCGGUGAAUACGUUCCCGGGCCUUGUACACAUCGCCCGUCCCACCACGAGAGUUUGUAACACCCGAAGUCGGUGAGGUAACCUUUUAGGAGCCAGCCGCCGAAGGUGGGACAGAUGAUUGGGGUGAAGUCGUAACAAGGUAACC